rnacentral:lncRNA from 1 species
CUCUGCGCUCGGGCUCCGCGGCCGCGCUGCCCCGGCCCUGCGCUCGGCGCCGCUCUCCCGCGCGGUCGGCCCGGGUCCGCGCGCCUCCUCGCUCUCUCCUCGCUCUCUCCCUCGCUCUCCUCGCUCUCUCCCUCUCUCUCCCUCGCUCUCCCUCGCUCUCCUUGCUCCCUCGCUCCCCCCCGCUCGCCUCCCGGGUCUCGGGCUCCCCGCCCGGCUCCCCGGGGUCUGUCCCUCUCUCCCGUCGCCUGUCCCCGGCCGUCCCCGGCUUCCUUCCCCGCGCUCUCGGGCUCCGUCCCCUUCCCCGUCUCCCGAUCUCUCCCGGGGGGCGGGGGGGAGUCCCCGACCGUCGCGGCGGCAGCGGCGGCGGCUCCGAGCCGCUCCGGGCGCCCGAUCCGGGGCGGGGGGCGGGGGAGGGGGAGCCUUAGUCAUUUCCCCGCUCCAGCCCGCGCCGCCCGAGCGCGCACUCACGGC